GAUGAACGCUGGCGGCGUGCCUAAUACAUGCAAGUCGAGCGAACAGACGAGGAGCUUGCUCCUCUGACGUUAGCGGCGGACGGGUGAGUAACACGUGGAUAACCUACCUAUAAGACUGGGAUAACUUCGGGAAACCGGAGCUAAUACCGGAUAAUAUAUUGAACCGCAUGGUUCAAUAGUGAAAGACGGUUUUGCUGUCACUUAUAGAUAGAUCCGCGCCGCAGUAGCUAGUUGGUAAGGUAACGGCUUACCAAGGCGACGAUGCGUAGCCGACCUGAGAGGGUGAUCGGCCACACUGGAACUGAGACACGGUCCAGACUCCUACGGGAGGCAGCAGUAGGGAAUCUUCCGCAAUGGGCGAAAGCCUGACGGAGCAACGCCGCGUGAGUGAUGAAGGUCUUCGGAUCGUAAAACUCUGUUAUUAGGGAAGAACAAAUGUGUAAGUAACUAUGCACGUCUUGACGGUACCUAAUCAGAAAGCCACGGCUAACUACGUG
rnacentral:rRNA from 1 species